GACCUUGGCUUCGGCCUUGGUUAGUGGCAAACGGGUGAGUAAUACAUAUCUAACAUGCCCCUCUGUGGGGGAUAGCCGCUUGAAAAAGCGAUUAAUACCCCAUAGGAAGCUUUAUCCAUGAUUUAGCUUUUAAAGCCUUACGGCGCUGAGGGAUUGGGAUAUGCUCUAUUAGCUUGUUGGCGGGAUAAAAGCCCACCAAGGCAAUGAUAGAUAGCUGGUCUUAGAGGAUGAACAGCCACAAUGGGAUUGAGAUACGGCCCAUAUUCCUACGGGAAGCAGCAGUAGGGAAUCUUCCACAAUGGACGAAAGUCUGAUGGAGCAAUACCAUGUGAACGAUGAAGGCCUUUUUGGUUGUAAAGUUCUUUUACGAGGGAUAAUUAUGAUAGUACUUCGUGAAUAAGUGACAGCAAACUAUGUGCCAGCAGCUGCGGUAAUACAUAGGUCGCGAGCAUUAUUCGGAUUUAUUGGGCGUAAAGCAAGCGCAGGCGGAUGUGUAAGUUCUGUGUUAAAUGCAGCUACUCAAUAGUUGUAUGCACCGAAUACUACAUGUCUAGAUUGUGGUAGGGAGUUUCGGAAUUAAGCAUGGAGCGGUGGAAUGUGUAGAUAUGCUUAAGAACACCAGAGGCGAAGGCGGAAACUUAGGCCAUAAAUGACGCUUAGGCUUGAAAGUGUGGGGAGCAAAUGGGAUUAGAUACCCCAGUAGUCCACACCGUAAACGAUGGGUAUUAGAUAUUAGGGUUUUAGCUUUAGUGUUGUAGCUUACGCGUUAAAUACCCCGCCUGGGUAGUACAUAUGCAAAUAUGAAACUCAAAGGAAUUGACGGGGACCUGAACAAGUGGUGGAGCAUGUUGCUUAAUUCGAUAAUACACGAAAAACCUUACCAAGGUUUGACAUCCCUCGCAAAGCUAUAGAAAUAUAGUGGAGGUUAUCGAGGUGACAGGUGGUGCAUGGCUGUCGUCAGCUCGUGUCUUGAGAUGUUUGGUUAAGUCCCGCAACGAGCGCAACCCCACUCUUUAGUUACUUUUCUAAAGAGACUGCACAGUAAUGUAGAGGAAGGAUGGGAUCACGUCAAGUCAUCAUGCCCCUUAUGCCUUGGGCUGCAAACGUGCUACAAUGGCGAACACAAUGUGUUGCAAACCAGCGAUGGUAAGCUAAUCACCAAAUUUCGUCUCAGUUCGGAUAGGAGGCUGCAAUUCGCCUCCUUGAAGUUGGAAUCACUAGUAAUCCCGUGUCAGCUAUAUCGGGGUGAAUCCGUUCCCAGGUCUUGUACACACCGCCCGUCAAACUAUGAGAGGAGUGGGCAUUUAAAAAUACAUUCGUUUGUAUCUAGAGUGAACAUUCUGAUUGGAGUUAAGUCGUAACAAGGUACCCGUACGAGAACGUGCGGGUGGAUAAUCUUCAAAUUACGAGAUGAUAGGGCCUUUUUAGGCUUUAUUUAGAAAAGGUUGUAACUAGAAUAAAUCCAAUAUCCAUAAGGAUUUGGAAGCUUCU
rnacentral:rRNA from 1 species